rnacentral:rRNA from 1 species
AUUGAACGCUGGCGGCAGGCUUAACACAUGCAAGUCGAGCGGUAACAGAGAGAAGCUUGCUUCUCUGCUGACGAGCGGCGGACGGGUGAGUCAUGCCUAGGAAUCUGCCUAGUAGUGGGGGAUAACUUGCCGAAAGGUAAGCUAAUACCGCAUACGUCCUACGGGAGAAAGGAGGGGACCUUCGGGCCUUUCGCUAUUAGAUGAGCCUAGGUCGGAUUAGUUAGUUGGUGAGGUAAUGGCUCACCAAGACCGCGAUCCGUAACUGGUCUGAGAGGAUGAUCAGUCACACUGGAACUGAGACACGGUCCAGACUCCUACGGGAGGCAGCAGUGGGGAAUAUUGGACAAUGGGGGGAACCCUGAUCCAGCCAUGCCGCGUGUGUGAAGAAGGUCUUAGGAUUGUAAAGCACUUUAAGUUGGGAGGAAGAGCAGUUAACUAAUAUUUGACUGUUUUGACGUUACCGACAGAAUAAGCACCGGCUAACUUCGUG